rnacentral:lncRNA from 10 species
AAUUAGCUAGGCGUGGUGGCAGGUGCCUGUAAUCCCAGCUACUCAGGAGGCUGAGGCAGGAGAAUCGCUUGAACCUGGGAGGCAGAGGUUGCCGUGAGCUGAGAUCGCGCCAUUGCACUCCAGCCUGGGCGACAAGAGCAAAACUCCGUCUCAGAAAAAAAAAAAAAAAAGAGUUGAUGGGUGAGCCUCCAGGCAAAUGGAAAACGGAAUUUCCUGCAAUUGGUGACCAUGUGUUCCAGGUGUUGAAAGACAGAGAAGCGAAGACAGAGACGUGGAAAGACAGGGAGAGAGACACGGAGAGAGACGCAGAAGGACAGAGACGUGGAGAGAGACGCAGAGAGACAGAGACGUGGAGAGACACAGAGAGACGUGGAGAGACACAGAGAGACUUGGAGAGAGACAAAGCAAGACAGGACGGGAGAACAAGGACAAGCUCA